rnacentral:lncRNA from 1 species
ACCCCAGCGCUGGCGGAGGGACUGGGGAGAGAGUGAGUCAGGCAGGGACAAGGCUUUCAUCAGUCAUCCCUGGUGGACCCUCCCAAGAAAACCCUAAGGGGUUCCGAGAGCCUCUUGUUGGGGAAGCGUCCACAGUUGGGAGGGUGAUGCAACCUGAACUCCAAGGAGACUGAAGCUCCUGGAUCCCACCUCUCGCACACCUGGCCCCUACUUCCUCACCUGCCUGUACAUCCCUUUAGGAUCCACAGCAUCAAGAACAAGUACCCACCUGGAUAAGGGAAGGCUCUGGGACCCAUUCAGGAUGUUAUUGAUGUUUUUGGAGAUGACAUCCAAGAGGAAGAGUUGGCAUUGCAUGGAGAGAUAAUGAGCUGUGUGGUGAUCAGCCCAGGCCUCAGAAGAAGUAGAUAAGGGGCAACCUCAGAGCCCUUCACCCACUGGACGCCACUGAAGUUUGUUACGGACAGGAUCUCUGGAACAGGCACUACACCCCAUUGUGAUGUCCAGACGCCAGCUGGGUUUCCAGGGGCAACGGGGCUGCCCCAGUUCUGAGCCCAGGGGACCCCAGGAGGCAGAUGUGCUCUGGGGCGUGAGAUCCGUUAAGUCUGCCUCAGGAAAGCUGCAUCCUCCACACUGAAACCACACCGGCAUUAGGACACUCCACUCAGCCUCUGGAAACACCCACCACUGCCUUCUCCUGGAAAGCACCUGCUCUAGUCCCUGGAGACUCGUAUUAGGGCAGAAUCCAACAGAAGAAUUCCGUGGUCAGCAGAGAAAGCCCCAUCUCAGCAUCCAUGGAGCAGGUGCAUCUGAGCACAAGCCUGGUGGACCAGACUACAAGCCUAAGACGAGGGCACAGGAAGCCUGGGUAUUGCCCACAAACACUCCAUCCAGUUCUUCCAUGGCCUGCCUUGAGGUCUACCAAGCAUUUAAAAGUCACCUUACCUGCCUGGGUAAGUUUAACCAUAUGUACCAAUAUUUCAUCAAGCGAUGCAUACAAAAGGGAAAGAGAACCCAGCUGAAGGGUGGCUACAGUGACAGGCAUAGGCUCUGGGGAUGAUCAGUUAAGACCACAAGCGGAGACACAACUGAGGCACAGUUGUGACACUGAGACACAGGACCACAAACUGAUUCAGCUCUGAUGACGGUGGUGGUCGUCUGAGACAGCACUGCCAUCAUCCUUCCGUGAACAUGAUGCUGACGUACUUCCGAUGGCUCCCUCAAUGCAAAGUCUGACUUGAAAUUUGGGAAAGGAACCUGCAGUAAAGGGGAUCCAGUGCCACUGGGCCUUCACUUCUUAGAGGGUAAUCACACCUCAGUUAUGUCCCCUUGUCAGAACAGCACAGACUCUUGGGAGUUCCCUGGUGGCUCAGAGGAUUAAGGAUCUGGCAUUGUCUGGCUGCUGUGGCUCAAGUUGCUGCUCUGGCAUCGGUUCAAUGGAUCCCUGGCCUGGGAACUUCCACAUGCCAUGAGCAUGCCCUAUUUCCUUUACAUUUAGAUUUUGGGCCCCUCAGGGAUUCAUUCUUGGAUCUGGAGUACAAAAUCAAUCUUUUUUUUUUUUUUUGUCUUUUUAGGGUCACACCCACGGCAUGUGGAAGUCCCCAGGUGAGGGGUCAAAUUGGAGCUGCAGCUGCCAGCCCACAGCCACAGCAAUGAGGGAUCCGAGCCACAUCUGUGACAUACACCACAGCUCACAGAAACACCAGAUCCUUAACCCACUGAGCGGGGCCAGGGAUCAAACCUGCGUCCUCAUGGACAGUAGUCAGGUUUGUAACCUGCUGCAUGACAACAGGAACUCCCCAAAUCAGUCUCAUUUUUAUCUUCUUUCAAAGGCCUGCAGACAUUUGUCCUAACACCAUCCGUCAAAACAUCCAUCAUCCCACACAUGAUUGGAGGUCUAACUUCAUCCUAUACUAGAAUUCUAUAUGGCAUUCGGUCUGUUCCCUACUACCUAUUCUGUUCCAUGACAUCAUUCAUUUUUUUUGUGUGCCAGUUGAAUGAACAUAAGCAUCAUAACAAAGCCUUGGCUGUUAAACCCUAAUAUCCAGUGUGACUAGACUUCCCUCACAGAGCUUUCUUUUCACUAUAAACCAUACUUUUAACUUUUUAUUUAUAUCUGUAGCACUGGCAACUAUGUCUGGUCACUUACGAUGGAGCAGGAUAAUGUGAGAAAAAAGAAUGCAUAUGUGUGCGUGUGACUAGGUCACCUUGCUGUGCAGUGGAAAAUUGACAGAACAGUGUACCUCAGCUAUAAUGGAGAAAAUAAAAAUCAUUAUUAAAAAAUGUUAUUGGCAUAUAGUUGACUGACAAUGUUGUGUUCAUGUCAGCUGUACAGCAAAGGGUAAAACAUGCUUUUUUAUGUAUUGUUUUAUCAACGUGUAGUUGAUUUAUAAUGCUGUGGCAAUUUCUUCUGGUCAGCAAAGUGACUCUCUCUCUCUCUCUCUCCAUAUAUAUACAUACACACAUUCCCUUUUUUAUAUUAUCUUCCAUCAUGGUUUAUCCAAAGAGAUUAUAUAGAGUUCCCUGUGCUGUACAGCAGGACCUCAUUGCUUAUCCAUUCUCAAUGUCAUAGUUUGCAUCCAGUAACCCCGAACUCCCCGUCCAUCCCGCUCCCUCCCCCAGUCCUCCUGACAACCACAAGUCUGUUCUCUUUGUCUGUGAGUCUGUUUCUACUUUGUAGAUAGCUUCAUUUGUGCCACAGUAUAGAUUCCACACAGAAGUGAUAUCAUAUGGUAUUUGUCUUUCUCUGUCUGACUUCAUGAGAAGAAUCAAUAUGGUCAAAAUGACCAUGUUACCCAAGGCAGUCUACUGAGGCAAUAAAACAUGCUUUUUAAAUGAAAACAAUCAGAAUGGGUGGGACCCUUUAGAUCCAGGGCUGCUCUUGGCCUUGGGGACUUCUUAUAAAAUCUUUCAGAGGUAUCUUUACCCAAGCAGUCUCCAAUCCAUGCAUCCACUGCAUUUCUCCUGCGAGGUUUGGUGGACCUCUGUGGGGAUAUGCACACCCAUAUUCUAUAUUUGCACAGCAAAAAUGAACAGGACAAAAGUUCCCAGGAGACACAACAGGUUAAGGAUCCAGUGUUGCCACCUCACCUGUGACGCAGGUCAUAACUGCAGCGCAGGCUCGAUCCCUGACUCUGGACCUUCCACCUUCUGUGGGUGU